rnacentral:rRNA from 1 species
UACGAAGGGUGCAAACGUUGCUCGGAAUCAUUGGGCGUAAAGCGCACGUCGGCGGCUUCGCAAGUCGGAUGUGAAAUCCCUCGGCUCAACCGAGGACGUGCAUACGAAACUGCGGAGCUUGAGUGCUGAAGAGGAUCGCGGAAUUCCCGGUGUAGAGGUGAAAUUCGUAGAUAUCGGGAGGAACACCAGUGGCGAAGGCGGCGAUCUGGGCAGACACUGACGCUGAGGUGCGAAAGCGUGGGGAGCAAACAGG